UUGCUAUCUGCGAUAUGGAAGAUUCGAACCUGCCGCAGGUUCGGGUCUCACGUAGUGAGACAACGGAGCCGCUUGCGGCGACGGCCCGAAGGGCGAGCGAAAGCGAGUCAUCCUGCACGACCCACCA
rnacentral:sRNA from 1 species